UGCAAUGUAGUUGGUGCCACCAGCUGCAUUCCAAGGGAUACAAUAUGAGGGUAGAUAGGACCAAUAAGUGUAAGAUAGUCAAAUGACAAACAAAAUGGAAGGCAAUAUGGAUAAAAGACAGAAUACCAAAUUUUUUUUUUUUAGGCUACAGAAUACCAAAUGUUAAAUCCAACAAACUUAUCAGAAGAAAGAACCCAACAAGCUAAGCCUUCAGCCCAAAAUUCCCAAAAACCUCACCUACUCAUGGUGUACGUAGGGGAGCAUAAGCACUAUGCCUAACUCCUACUCCCCCUAUCCCGUCCAAUGGAAUAAUUUAAACAGACUUUCUGGGAGAAUGAACUCGGGGAAAGCAGAGUGUGUCAAUUGGGCAAAUACACCCAUAGUGACAGGGUGGGAUGGAUAUCUCGCAUAUGAAAAUUAGCAGUUUGCCCUGUUAGUCCUCUAGGACACAAAUAAUUCAAUUUUGUCCCAUGAACUAUUUGUGUCCACAGAUUGGUUCCAUCCAAAACUUGAGAUAAUGGGUGUAAACAAAAAAAAAAAAGACUCAUAAAUAGUUGCUCAUGGAGUUGAAGAUAUCAAAUUUUGAGGGGUCGGUAUCAAAUUAUGUUGAAUUGCGUGAUAUAGAGCCAAAUUGCAGUUUAACAUAAAGAAGGAAAAAUAAUCAAACUCAAACCCAUUUCAAAGUUCAACCUUUCUUUUAUUAAUCACAACAUCUAGAAGCAUACGGACUAUGGUUCUAUGACUUAUGCUGGAAUACUUCACUUGAUGGGAAGAUAUAUUAAAAAAAAUACGGCCAAUUAGAUCUUUAAAAAGGGAAAACAAGGGCGAAUUUCUCAAAAUAUUGCUAAAAUUGAAAAUCGUCACAAAAUUGGUGCUGUUUGAUGAAGGGUUCUUAAUUAGGGGUUGCCGCAACUCUGAUGUGAGGCUUCAAGUAAAAAUAAUUUUCAUUUUCAUUUAUUUUGAGUUGCUUCAGUUUCCCUUUUUUUUUUUUAAUUCCUUCAAACCAUAGCCGCUCAUUUGAUUAGCGGCGAAGGUUUUUUUUUUUUUAAAUUUUUUUUUGCAUUGCCGCUCAUCUCAUUUGAUUAACGGCAAAGGUUUUUUUUUUUUUAAUUUUUUUUGCAUCGCUGCUCAUAAGAUGAGCCGCGAUGCAAAAUCUUGUGGUAUAUAUUUCUUUUUUUUUGAGGUAUAUAUUUCAUUUGCCAAAGAGGCCAAACAAAAGAAAGUGCAAAUUCAGGAACAGGAUUUCGAAGGUGACAUCAAACACAUGCAAGUUAAACGCAAAUCAUGCUGUCCCGCACAAUGAUGUGAAAAAAUAAAUGUCAUAUCUAGUUAAUCAUAAAUUUGAUCAGCUUAUGUACUAGAUAAUUAUAGUUAAGUGGACAGAUAAACAAGAAAAAUUUUCUCUAUACAUACGAUAUUUUUUUUUUGCAAAGAUUUUUCUAUUACAUAUAAUGCGUUGUUAGUUAGCUUAUGACUGCAUUUUUAACUUUUAUAUAUCACAUCAGAAAAAGUGUCACCUUUCUGACUGUAUUUUUAUCUUUCAUAUAUCACAUCAGAAAAAGUAUUACAUAUUAAUUUCAAAAAAGGGUUUCUGAAUAAUCUUUUAUCCAAAUUACAAAACCCAUUUAUUGGUAUAUAAAACAAUAGAUUUUUCAAAAGAUUUCUAAGUUAUGACAAAUUCUGCAUUUAACAAUGCAGAUUUCUUUUCAUAUUUAUUUAUUUUUUUAAUCAUGAAGAAUUUUUUGACUAAGUUAAAUUUUCAUAUCAAUCUUUUUUUCAUAUUAAUUUUUUUUUGCAUCGCCGCUCGUGAGAUGAGUGACGAUACCUUUUUUCUCCUUAUUCUUUUUUCUUUUUUUUAAUAAAACAUAACUCUUUUUUUUAAUAAGGAGAAAAAGAAUUACAUUUUAUUAGAAAAAGAAAAAAGAAUAAGGAGAAGAAAAGGUAUCAUGAGCGGCGAUGCAAAAAAAAAAAUUAAUAUGAAAAUUUAACUUAGUCAAAAGAUUCUUCAUGAUUAAAAAUAAAUAAAUUUGAAAAGAAAUCUGCAUUGUUAAAUGCAGAAUUUGUCAUAACUUGGAAAUCUUUUGAAAAAUCUAUUGUUUUAUAUACCGAUAAAUGGGUUUUGUAAUUUGGAUAAAAGAUUAUUCAGAAACCCUUUUUUGAAAUUAAUGUGUAAUACUUUUCUCUGAUGUGAUAUAUGAAAAAUGAAAAUAUAAUCAUAAAGGUGACAUUUUUUCUGAUAUGAUACAUAAAAGAUGAAAAUACAGUCAUAAAGGUAACUAACAACGCAUUUAUAUGUAAUAAAAAAAUCUUUGUAAAAAAAUCUAUUGUAUGUAUAGUGCAAAUCUUUCUUGUUUAUCUAUUCACUUAACUAUAAUUAUCUGGUACAUAAGCUGAUCAAAUUUAUGAUUAACAAGAUAUAGGAUUUAUUUUUUCACAUCAUUUAGUAGGAUCUGAAGAAUAUGAAGUUUUGCUUGACAAAUUCUUCUUACCAUAACCAUCAUUGUGCGGGACAGCACGACUUGCGUUUAACUUGCAAGUGUUUGAUGUCAACUUGGAAGUCUUGUUCCUGAAUUUGUACUUUCUUUUGUUUGACCUCUUUGGCAAAUGAAAUAUAUAUACCUCAAUAAAAAAAAAGAAAUAUAUACCACAAGAAGUGGGCUAAAAGAUUUUAUUAUGACAUUUUACAUCGCUGCGAUGCAAAAAAAUAAAAAAAACCUUCGUCUCUAAUCAAAUGAGCGGCGAUGGUUUGAAGGAAUUUAAGAAAAAAAGAAACUAAAGCAACCAAAAAUAAAUAAAAAUAAAAAUUAUUUUUACUAGAAGCCUUACAUUGGAGUUGCAGCGACCCUUAAUUAAGAACCCUCCAUCAAAUAGCACCAAGUUGUGAAGAUUUUCAAUUUUAGCAAUACUCUGAUAAAUUCCCCGAAAACAAGGGCAGAUGGGAGAUGUGGAAAUUCCACAGUGGAAUGGGGAUGCUGCUGGCAUUGGACAUUACUCGAAUGGAGGGAGGGGAUGUGUAAGGUCCAGAACACUGAAGGACAAAAUUAUCCUUCAACCUAAUCAACCUAUAUAGUAAAAGCGCGAAUGGAUCUGUUAAGGAUGGUGGUUGUUGUGCUGAUGUGGCUGUGUUUUAUUGGCUGGAGGGUGGUCGUUAUUCACGUGAGAGUCACGUGUUUUCGGUAGGAGAAGAGGUGGAAUUCUUGUUGUUGGCCGAGGAGUUUUUAUUAAAUUUGUUUCCAAAUACCGGUCCAUUUCUUUGGCUCUCCAUGUGUGUGUGUCUUCUGAAUACUUUUCUGAUGGGAUCAUGACCACUUCAAUUUACGGGGCUCAAGGUAAUCACUCCAAUCAAUCUAUUCCCACCUUUUCUUCUCUCGUCUUUUGACAAACAGUUAUACUGAGUGAACAAGUUUCCUCAAUUUUAUCCUUUUUUUUUUUGUACUUUAUUGUGUGAUCUUCCAUCCCUCUCUCCGAAACCAAUCAAUUACAAUUUAACACCCACUUCUUCUCAUUUUCGUAAUCUUUUCCGGGUAGCUUCCAGAUCUGCUAGAUUCUCUUGUUAGUUCUUCGUCAUCAAUAAAUAUUAUUGGUGGAUUCUGCUUUCCCUAAAUUUUCCUUUUGCAAUUAACUCUCUCCCAAUGCUUUCACUUUGACUACUAAGAUCAACCCAAAAAAAAUUACGUCAAAUCAUUCUGGAGGGGGAACGAAAAGAAAUUAAGCAUUUGCAUGGUAAUCGAGUGACUUUUAAGGUUAGCUUCCUGUUAUUUUGUAGAUAUUUCUUGGCUGUGAAUUUUUCUUUUUCAUUUUUUAAAUUUUAUGACUAUUAGGUAUCAUUUGGUGAUUAUUUUGUUUUUUGGUUUCUUUUGUGUGCAUUAUGACUGGUAAAGAAAUAGAGGAGUUCACAAAGAGAACUACACGCAGUUGGUUUCUUCAAGUUGUUUAUUGCUUGGUGUGGUUAUACGGUUGUCUUUAAAAGAUUUUUUUUGAGGGUUUUCUUGUCUAACUUUAUAUUUAUUGUGAUAUUGCAGGUUCAGAUAUGGAAAAUCUUUUGCAAUGUGUCUUGCCUACGGUUUUUCAUAUAAAUACUCCAAGAACAUUAUUCUCAUUGCUUAAAGGGUUUGUUCUUUCCUCCCCUGCCUAAACUUCUCUAGCCUUUUUUCCUUUUUGUUCUCCGGUUUAGUUGUCUAAUAUUGCGGCUUGUUGUGUUUUUUUUUUCCUUUGUAGGAUAAUAAGGUUGCUCCAAAUCUUCUCUCUCUGUUUGAUCCUCUUUAGCUCUAGAAGCAAGGAAAUUUGGAGAAUCUAUCUCCAAACUAUCUGGUUCAUUGUUACCUCUUAGUCUUUCUUUCCUUUCUAUAUUUAUUGGUUUUAUUCCCCAAAAAUUUUCACCUGAUUAAUAUCUAAAUUUUGCCUAUAUUGUUCCUUAUUUCUUUAUCCAUGCUUUCUUACAAGACAGAUGCAGCCAAGAGAAGAUCAUCACCGAGAAACAUUGCGGGCAAUUUUGCUUCCUUGUGUUUCGUCCUUCUUCAUCUCAGGUUUUCUCUAUUUUAUUUUUUAAUUUUUUGAACUUUUGUACUCUUUUUUAAGUAGUUUCUAUGUUGCUUGUUUCUUUCUUUUGGGUCUCUAGAGCCCCCUAUACAAACUUGUAUGAUAUUUAUUAUGGAUGGAAAAAUUACUUGGUAGAGAAACUGAAGGAAAAAAUUGUCCGGAAACUCUGGAAAAUGGAGUUUUCAUGGCUCAUCUGAUCGGUUUUUUUUUUUUUUGGUUUGUUAUGUGCAGGAGUACGUUCAAUUAUUGACUCACAAAAGACGAUCCAUAUGGUAACCAACCCAAAGUCUCCAUUUGCAGAGAUCAAAUUUCAUGUCAAUGAUUGUUAAAAACUUUAGUUAUUUUUUUUGUGUCUUUCUUUUUGAGAAAACUAUUUUUCUUAUUUUUUUUCCCUUGUGAAGUUUUGGUUCUUAUUUUUCGAAGGGUGUAUAUGGAUUCUUUAAAACAAAAGAAAAAAAAAUACUUUUGUGUUUUCUUAGUUUUUUUUUUCAACAAACAUUGUGUUUUCUUAGUUGCUGAUAAAAGCACUGAAACUGAUCAAGGAGCCAUUAGUUGAGAUAGUCGUUUUAAUUACUUGUUCCCUGUAUAUUUGUAUAUGCAUGAAGCUUGCCUGGCCUUCUUCUUUUACACGAGUACCUUUUAUUUUAGUUUUACAAGAAUACCAUUUUUUGGUUAAAUUUUUGUUUAUUUUGUCCCUAGAAUAUUGGUUUGAGUUCAUGGGGAUAACAUUUUUAGAAUAUAAAGUGAAUAUAGAGUAAAUAUGGCAGAUUGAGUAUUAGCCUAUUAUUGUAGAGAAAUUUCUUACCAUCUACUGCCAUUUAAGUGGUUUACUACAUGUUUCUUGCUUAUUUAGACUUUACCUUUCGUGAAAAUGAUUUCAAUGUUUAUGGCAAUUAAAAGUUUGGUGUGGUAAUAUGUUGGUCUUUCCAGAUUCUUUAUAUUCCUUGAAAAGGUAAAGAGAAUUUUUUGCAGCUAAAAUAACAAAAAGAUGUUAGGAUUACUUUGCAUUUAGAUCAUAUUUUCUACAGUCAUCUUCUUUUUAUUUUACUUUUGGUUAUGUUAUUAAUUUUUUUAUUCUUUUAUGUUAUUAAUUUACUUUAUUCAUGUUAAAGGUGCAAAUGAUUGAAGAUGCAGUCACUCUGAAACCAGUUCAUGGAAUAACAAACUUUGUGAGUUAAAAAUGCAGUCCUUUCUUAUUUUUUUUUAUCUUGCUUUUGUGUUGAGCAUGGUCAUUAUUAGAUGGUUUAUUCUUAAUUUCAGCCUUUCAAUCCUUCACUAUUUGCAUACCAUUAAUUCAAUGUGUUGGAAUCAUAAAUAUUACUUUGUUUGCUACAGAAGGUUUUUUUAGGUCUCUUAUUUUAUUUAAUUAUCUUUUAUUACAGCAAGAAACGUGAAUAAUUAUUCAAAAUUUACUGAGGAAAAAAAUGUUUAAGUGGGCAAUUUUUUUGUAGGCUUUACUCUUCAUAUAUGUAUUGAUUUGCUCUAUGGUUUUCUGCUCAAAUUUUUGUCAAGAGAGGGAAGAAAGAAGAAAUGAUGGUUAAUUCUUACUUUGAAGCAUUAGGGGGGUAUACGACUACGCGAAACUUAAUACUUACUGAAUUUGUUGUUGACCAUUAUGCUGUUAUUGUAAGAUAUCUUUUAAGAAUUAUUGCCAUCUAAGAGCAUUCAAGAGGUUUACUCUAUAUUUCUUGCUCAUUUAGACUGUCUAUAUUGUUUGGGUAAAAUAGCAUAUGGAUACGUCUGACAUACAGAUUGUCAUGCCUUAGGUAGUGGACAUUUGUGGUGUGCAUCGAAUCACCAUUGCCAAGAUUGCUUAUUUUGUAAAUUAUAACGAUUUGUUUACAUAUUUAAAUUUGUGAAAUUUACUUUACGGGAUAUAUUCCUCAUCUCACCAUUAAAUGGUUAAAUGGAAUCUUUUGAGAGUAAAAAUAGAGCUUCAUGAAAACAAGAAACUAGAUUCGUGCAUAAUUUUGGUGAAAAUGGAACAAUUUGGUUUAAAGGCAAGAUUAAGGAAUCUUUGAUUUUUCUUUGUAUUAGCUUCUCACAAUGGCAACAAAUUUCUAAUGGUCUUGCUUUGAUUAUGUUCAGGUUCCCAUUUUAAACAGCAGGAGAAAUGGGACAAAAAAAAUAUAAGCCAUGAAAAGAAGCAGGGAGGGGGAAAAUAGAUCUUCAUCAGAACAUGUAUACUUUUGUUUUCACUUUUUUUUUGAAAUUUAGGCUGGUUCUAUAAGUAUUUUUUUUGUUUUAUUUUUUCCUUGAUUAGAAGGAGAAGAUGAGAAGAAGCAUAAGCAGAUGAAGAGAAAAGUAUGGAUCUUCAGCCUAAUCAGGUCUAUAAGUUUCUUUUUUAUUUUAAUUUAAGCAGUUUUUGUAAGGUUUUAUUUUAGUUCAAAAUACAUUUUUAUCAGAGUUUUUGAAAUGAAAAUGAGGUGAAGCAGAUGAAGGGAAAGAACAGAUCUUUGGUUUGAUUCAAUGCUGUAAGUUUUUUCUGUUACUUUUUCUUUGUAACUUGAGCAGUUUUCUGAGUUUCUUUCUUUUUUGCCUUUUUUUUUAAUUUCUGACUUUCUAUUAUUGAUUCUGAAGCAAAAAAGAAAGAAGAAAUAAUAAAAUUACAUAGUCCUAAGUGAUUUUUUUUUUGGAAAAAUUUUUGUGUGAGUAGCAUUUAUGGUUGUAGAAUUAGUUAUUAGAAUGAUUGAAAAAUUGGAUUUUGAUUGACUCAUUAUAGAUGGUAAGAGCUUGAAAGUAAAAUUGGAUUUCUACUAUUGCUUUAGUUAGAAUAAUUUCAAAUGUAUUACACUUUGAAUAUGUCUGAAGAUCUAAGUUUUAUUUGAUUGAACUGUUCCACUGAUGAUGCAUUAUCCUGCUGGGUUUAAUUAUUCUUGCUGCUUUUGGUUAAGAUUGUCUUUGUUGCUUUUUCGGUUCUUGAGAUAUUCCUUUUCUUUUGUUUAGAAACAUUAAAUUACCUCUCGUGCACUUGAAGUGUGAAGAUGCAUAUGCGUAAUUUGCAUUAAUAUCAUCAAGAAAUUUUGUCAGAUCUCAUUGCUUUUGGUUUCUCCUGAGGUACAGUCUUGUCCUUUUACUUAUUUAUUUGCUUAUUUUGACUUUCGGACUAUUAUUAUAGGUUGGUAUAAAUUGCUUUGUUUUUUUUUUCCAAAAUUUGAUGUUUCUGAUCAGAAUUAAGUGUUCCAUAGAAAUUCAAACUCCUGUGAUAUUUUCUUUAGGAGUUUUUUGUUCACAUGUUUGGUAAUCUGGUUUAUGAAAUUGCUUCUUGUCUGUAGCUUUUAACUUGGAGUUUCAUCUAUAGAGUUUUUCUAAACCCAUCGUUCACUGCUGGAUAGGUAUUGUCGCGCCCCAUUUUUUGAAAAUAAAGAAAAAUAAAAGACGAGUUUAGAAGAAUGGCUUUUGAUUCAAUUUUUUGAUUGGAAAAUAAAUUUUUGAUUUAAAAAGAAAAUGAAGAACAUGGGUCUAAAUGGGACUUGAAAAUGCGACGAUUUGACCCAAAAUAAUAAUCUAAAAAGGUUUUUAAACAGAAAAGCAGGAGUCGCCACAUAGUAUUGAGUUAGGGUGUACCAAAUCACCCAAAAAGUAAUUUUUUGAAAAAAUGAAGUAAAACCUUUUUAGAUUGACUCCAAAAUCUACAAUAAAUUAGAGAAAAUGGCUCGGGGGUCAUGGUUGAAGAGAGGGAAGGCAAAGACAAUGUCUAAGGCACCCUCUCAACCUAGCAUAAGCUAGUUGUGUGAUUUAGUCACGAUUUUCCUAACUUCUAACCAAAAGAUGUAUCGCAUUUGGACGUGCCUAACAUGAAUGCCAACUUAAAUCUAAUGAUUGAUUCUAAUGGGGCAAAAUGUCUCUUUUGAGGCUCGAUUGAUCCUAAUCACAUGAAUUGUGAUAGCCAAUGGUGAAUCCUUAAAGAAGUCACGAAUAAAUGCAAAUGAAUACUCGAGUAAUAAUGAGAAAAAACGAGAGUGUGCAAAAAUGUCUUUGAGUGUAAAAAAACGAGUGCUAGGUGCAAGUGUGCAAGUAGGUGUGUAAAGUGUAGGUGUGUAAAUGGGUGUGUAAAAGUGCACAUGUUCAAAUGAGAGAGAGUGUAAGGUGUAGGUGUGCAAAUGAGUAAGUAAAAUGUAAAUGUGAGAAUGUGCAAAAGUGAUAAAGUGGAUAAAGUCUCGUGUGCAGAGUGAAAAUGUAUAAAGUGAGAGUGCAAACGGUAAUGUGCCUUGAAAAUGCAUGAGCCCUAAAGGAAUGCAAUCAAAACGGGUACGGGAAACUAAUGUUCGUGACUCAAUUUUCCCUUUAAUAGAGGAAAUACGAGUGUGCUAAGGUUAGAAAGUCAAACUCGUCUAUAUCCCAUACUCAAGGGGUGUUUCCCUAUCUAUACAAGCAAAUGACCCUAAUAACUAGAAUGAAAUGCAAAAUCCUAAAAAUCAUGUUUCAAAUGCGAGAAAGGGAGUGAAGGGCCAUGCAAAAAUGUAAAACUAAAAAGGAAAAAUGAAUAAAGAUGUAAUGAAGUCAUGCAAGUAUGUACUAGCGAGGGACGGUCCUAUUGGGUCUAGCAUUGGACUAGCCCUUUACUAACGUUCCCUUACAAGCAUUGGACUUGUGAGCGAUCAAGGGGAAGACCAUGACUAGCAUUGGACUAGCUACGGUAACGUACAUUCCAUCCACAUAAUCAGGUGUAAUACUAAAGCAAAUAGACAUGCAAAGCACAUAGUUUUACAUAGCACGUAGCACAUAAGCAUGCUUAUCUAGAUGCAGAAACCUAGGAAAAGCAAUUAAACACAUAGGCAGGCAAACACGCAAGCAAAACGAAGCAAGCAAACAAACAAAUGAGCCCUAUCUAUUAUAUUGGGGAAGCCUACUACAGUCUAAGAAGGGAUAAAUAAAAUAAUAACCUAGCUAUUACAACUUUGGCAUUCAAGUGCCUUUCAAAAGAUCAAAAUUGAACUAAAAAUAAAUAUACAAACUAAAGCCAACAAAGAAAAUAAAUGAAAUAAAUAAAUAAGUAAUAAUAAAAACAUUUAAGAGGCAUGCAAUUAAACACGUAAAAUCACAUAGGGCAAGUAGGGUCAAAUAGAGUAAGAAAUAAGGGAUAGAGUGUAUCUCCCUUGAGUCGGGGCUCUAAUGGAGUGAAAUUACUUAUUCAUCCUCUAAAAACAAAGAAAAGGUCAAGGCAUCACAAAUAACCACAUAAAUAUGAAAUUGAACCAUUUAAAGCAUUUAAAUAACUAAAACAGCCCAUAUUCACUAAACAAGGACCCAAUUGGAAAGAAAAGAAAAGUUUGAGGGGUCAAUUUGAUUGAUUUUUCCAAUUGCUUGGGCCAUAGUGGCAUUAGGUGAAAACAUGUGGGAUUGAGUGCAAUUUUGGAAAGUCUUCCAUGCAACAUGCGAAUAAGCUUACUGUCACUAAACUUUCUGCCACUCUUUUUUUGGUUUCUUAAAACCAGUAACACCUAUUUUUAUUAUAAGCGAAGCAACUUUAUGCGCAAAACCAAGUCAUGCUAAUAAGAUUGACAAAUGAAUCUAGACUACAAACCAAAACAUACAGCUUCAACUGGAAUCAAAUUAAACUCUCAACAAUUAGAGUGAAUCAAAUACGAAAGCAAAACAGAAUACAGUUAACAUCAAAACCCCAAGUUCCUUCCAAUUUUCGAUUAAUAACUUUUGCCAUCAAAUGCACUCUUUUACCAAUUUCUGAAAACCAAACAAAAGACAAGGGGGAAGGCUAUGCGACUAUUGCACGAAUGCCAUAACUAAAAUUGAACUGAUAAGAGUUUUUUUUUCCAUAUGCAAACCCACCGAAAUCAACAAGACUAAAUCCCCUGCCCAUCUCCCAAUGCGCAUGGACUACAAAAGAUUUACUUAUUUUUUCAUUUUCAUUCGGACCUUUUAUCAAACAGAAAAUGGGCAUUAAGAACUUCAAUGAUUGUCACUCCCAUGAAGUCACGGCCAGCCCCAACAUUAUCAGAUAAACCAGAAAUUUCAACCCAAUCAACAAACCACAUGCAACCAAUCAUUGAAAUCAUUAUCUUGCUCACAAAACCCAAAUUCUAAAAAAACAGGAUGUUCUUUUCCGUCCAAUCACAAUAACAAGAAAACUCAAAUUUCAGCAUCUUAAACUUCCUAAGAAUAGGGUUAAGCAAGUAAACAUGUCCGCUAUAGGCACAAUCAACCUCAUUAGCUAAACAAAUAUAACCAUUAAAGAAGCCCACAAUUUGUACAAUUUUCGACCAGGUCUGAAAUGGAAUUUUAACUCACCGCACAGGUCAUCAUUCAAGGGGAAUUUUUAGUUGAGCAUUUUGUCUAGCAACAAAAGAGCAUAAAAAUUUUUAAUGAUUCUUUGUUCAAUCAAUGCUGUAACUAGCCCAAAAAUUUGUCAGAAACAAAGAAAUUCAGCCCAAUCAACGUAUGCAUCAUGUGUAUUCAGAAAUUAAGGCCAAUUAAUAGGAAAAUUGCACUAAAUAAUGCCACGGCAGACCCAUUUCAAAAACUUGACAAGAACUGAAAUUUAAAGAGAGGAAAAAAAACUUACAGUGCUCUUGCUUGGCAAGAUUUCGCAGAUAGCAAGGGAAGAUUCUGGUGGGUUCGGUGAGGUGGUGGCGACUAUGAGCGGCGGCGGUUUCGGCAACUCUUCCGAUGAACCUUCCUUACCCUGUUUUUCCGCGGCUUUGCUCCUCUGCUUUUCCUCGACUCUAGUUUCUUGUUGAAACCUUUCUCCUCUAUUUUCUUUUGUUCCCUCAUCCAAGCUUUCUACUGCCCGAAGCUUCUUUUUCAGUCUUUCUUUGUUGCUUUGUUCUUUUAGCCGCCACUUCCAAUCUCCCUUAGCUCCUCUGUCCACCGCCCUCUGUUUUUUCCUCGUUUUUCUUUUUUCUUUCUGUUUUUCUCUCUCCGUUCCUUUUUCCGCCGCCACUCUUCCCUUCUGCGUUCUUUUUGGAGCCUUUUUAUGGGUACUCAAAAAUACCCCAAAACCUAGCACCUAAGGAUGAGAUUUAGAACUGCAUUUUCUGUCCAUUUCAAGCCAUUAGAUGGCUUUUAAUCUGGAAGCUUCUUGUCAAUUGGGAUUGGGCUACGUGGUUUUGUACUGAAGGGUUAAAAGGGAAAUACAAAUGCCCAAAAAUGGGUGGAAAAUGGCAGCUGGAAAUCAGUACUAUUUGCUGGUUUUUGUACCAGCUCCGUGAAGAAGAAGGUGAGCACGUGGUGC
rnacentral:lncRNA from 1 species